rnacentral:rRNA from 1 species
GGGAUAACUCGGGGGCGGCGGUGGCGGGAGGAGGUAUGGUGAGAGGGGUGUUUGGACUUAUUGGGCGUAAAGGGAAUGUGGGCGGAUUGUUAAGUGUGGUGUGAAAGCCCGGGGCUCAACCCCGGAAGUGCAUUGGAUACUGGCAAUCUUGAGUAUGGGAGAGGAAAGUGGAAUUCCGAGUGUAGGAGUGAAAUCCGUAGAUAUUCGGAGGAACACCAGUGGCGAAGGCGGCUUUCUGGACCAAUACUGACGCUGAGAUGCGAAAGCGUGGGGAGCAAACAGGAUUAGAUACCCUAAGUC